CAGGCCUAACACAUGCAAGUCGGACGGGAUUGGGAGCUUGCUCCCAUGAGAGUGGCGCACGGGUGCGUAACACGUAUGUAACCUACCUUUAUCAGGGGGAUAGCCUCUCGAAAGAGAGAUUAACACCGCAUAACAUGAUUGAGUAGCAUUAUUUAAUCAUCAAAUAUUUAUAGGAUAAAGAUGGGCAUGCGGGACAUUAGCUAGUUGGCGGGGUAACGGCCCACCAAGGCGACGAUGUCUAGGGGCUCUGAGAGGAGAAUCCCCCACACUGGUACUGAGACACGGACCAGACUCCUACGGGAGGCAGCAGUAAGGAAUAUUGGUCAAUGGGCGGAAGCCUGAACCAGCCAUGCCGCGUGCAGGACGACUGCCCUAUGGGUUGUAAACUGCUUUUGUCGGG
rnacentral:rRNA from 1 species